CACAUGCAAGUCGAACGAUAGAAACUUAGCUUGCUAAGGGGAUUAGUGGCGAACGGGUGAGUAAUAUAUCGGAACGUGCCUUGUAAUGGGGGAUAACUAGUCGAAAGAUUAGCUAAUACCGCAUACGCCCUGAGGGGGAAAGUAGGGGAUCUUCGGACCUUACGUUAUAAGAGCGGCCGAUAUCUGAUUAGCUAGUUGGUGGGGUAAUGGCCUACCAAGGCGACGAUCAGUAGCUGGUCUGAGAGGACGACCAGCCACACUGGAACUGAGACACGGUCCAGACUCCUACGGGAGGCAGCAGUGGGGAAUUUUGGACAAUGGGCGAAAGCCUGAUCCAGCCAUUCCGCGUGAGUGAAGAAGGCCUUCGGGUUGUAAAGCUCUUUCGCAAGGGAAGAAAACUUACAUUCUAAUAAAGUGUGAGGCUGACGGUACCUUGAUAAGAAGCACCGGCUAACUACGUGCCAGCAGCCGCGGUA
rnacentral:rRNA from 1 species